rnacentral:rRNA from 1 species
AUGGUCAGCAGCAGCACAGAGCCCCGCCCCAUCAAGGUAGCAGCCCCCCUUGAACUUCGACGGAACGGUCAGGCAGAGCUUCUUGCCGGUGAUGGGAGCAAUUACAAUAAGCUCUGCCCGUUGCCAGGGCAUGAUGAGGAGGCGACCGUGGCGGCACCCCAGCAGUCGGACCCCUGUGCCACCGCGACUGUCAAUGCUGUGGAGUCGCAGCUCAAAGCGCUGAGGAGGGAUGCGGUCGGGAGGGCCAAGGACAUGUUUGAACACGAUACCAUCCGCACUGUUCUUGAAGAAACCGAGGAGUGGCAGCUUCCGGUGGUGUGCACAGAAGCGGCGGCGGAACCUGGGGUCAGUGACGGUGCAUCGCCACCGCUUGCAGACGGCAGAGGCACGGGGCAGGGAGGUGGGUUGCAGCGGGAGACGGAGGAGGAUCUCCCACAGGAGAUCGUCGUCCUCAAGCGGCGAGGACAGCGCCUCCGGCGAGCGGCCACGGCCGCGGUGACGACUGCGGCGGGUCACUCUGGCAGCCUCCUCACCCGCGUGGACAUGGGGACGGAGGCGCGUGCUGCGCCGGAGAGCCACUCCGUCGCUCGCGUGAACCUGGGGAUGGAGGCAGCAGGCCACUCCGUCGCCGUUGUCACUCAAGUGGAUCUAGGGAUGGGGAUGGAGGCACGGGCUGCGGCGGCGGGCCACUCCUUGGCUCGCCUCACUCGCAGGGCUAUUUGGAUGGAGGCGCCUGCGCGUGCUACGGCGUCCGGCGUCCUCGGCCGCGCUCAUCUCGCCGGCGGCAAGACCUAG